rnacentral:rRNA from 1 species
AUGAACGCUAGCGACAGGCUUAACACAUGCAAGUCGAGGGGCAGCACAGGUAGCAAUACCGGGUGGCGACCGGCGCACGGGUGAGUAACGCGUAUGCAACUUGCCUAUCAGAGGGGGAUAACCCGGCGAAAGUCGGACUAAUACCGCAUGAAGCAGGGAUCCCGCAUGGGAAUAUUUGCUAAAGAUUCAUCGCUGAUAGAUAGGCAUGCGUUCCAUUAGGCAGUUGGCGGGGUAACGGCCCACCAAACCGACGAUGGAUAGGGGUUCUGAGAGGAAGGUCCCCCACAUUGGUACUGAGACACGGACCAAACUCCUACGGGAGGCAGCAGUGAGGAAUAUUGGUCAAUGGCCGAGAGGCUGAACCAGCCAAGUCGCGUGAGGGAUGAAGGUUCUAUGGAUCGUAAACCUCUUUUAUAAGGGAAUAAAGUGCGGGACGUGUCCCGUUUUGUAUGUACCUUAUGAAUAAGGAUCGGCUAACUCCGUGCCAGCAGCCGCGGUAAUACGGAGGAUCCGAGCGUUAUCCGGAUUUAUUGGGUUUAAAGGGUGCGUAGGCGGCCUUUUAAGUCAGCGGUGAAAGUCUGUGGCUCAACCAUAGAAUUGCCGUUGAAACUGGGGGGCUUGAGUAUGUUUGAGGCAGGCGGAAUGCGUGGUGUAGCGGUGAAAUGCAUAGAUAUCACGCAGAACCCCGAUUGCGAAGGCAGCCUGCCAAGCCAUUACUGACGCUGAUGCACGAAAGCGUGGGGAUCAAACAGGAUUAGAUACCCUGGUAGUCCACGCAGUAAACGAUGAUCACUAGCUGUUUGCGAUACACUGUAAGCGGCACAGCGAAAGCGUUAAGUGAUCCACCUGGGGAGUACGCCGGCAACGGUGAAACUCAAAGGAAUUGACGGGGGCCCGCACAAGCGGAGGAACAUGUGGUUUAAUUCGAUGAUACGCGAGGAACCUUACCCGGGUUUGAACGCAUUCGGACCGAGGUGGAAACACCUUUUCUAGCAAUAGCCGUUUGCGAGGUGCUGCAUGGUUGUCGUCAGCUCGUGUCGUGAGAUGUUGGGUUAAGUCCCGCAACGAGCGCAACCCUUAUCCUCAGUAGCCAGCAGGUAAAGCUGGGCACUCUGUGGAGACUGCCAGGGAUAACCUGGAGGAAGGUGGGGAUGACGUCAAAUCAGCACGGCCCUUACAUCCGGGGCGACACACGUGUUACAAUGGCGUGGACAAAGGGAGGCCACCUGGCGACAGGGAGCGAAUCCCCAAACCACGUCUCAGUUCGGAUCGGAGUCUGCAACCCGACUCCGUGAAGCUGGAUUCGCUAGUAAUCGCGCAUCAGCCAUGGCGCGGUGAAUACGUUCCCGGGCCUUGUACACACCGCCCGUCAAGCCAUGGGAGCCGGGGGUACCUGAAGUCCGUAACCGAAAGGAUCGGCCUAGGGUAAAACUGGUGACUGGGGCU